rnacentral:rRNA from 1 species
UGAACGCUGGCGGCAGGCCUAACACAUGCAAGUCGAACGGUAACAGGCAGCAGCUUGCUGCUUCGCUGACGAGUGGCGGACGGGUGAGUAAUGUCUGGGAAGCUGCCUGAUGGAGGGGGAUAACUACUGGAAACGGUAGCUAAUACCGCAUAAUGUCGCAAGACCAAAGAGGGGGACCUUCGGGCCUCUUGCCAUCGGAUGUGCCCAGAUGGGAUUAGCUUGUUGGUGGGGUAACGGCUCACCAAGGCGACGAUCCCUAGCUGGUCUGAGAGGAUGACCAGCCACACUGGAACUGAGACACGGUCCAGACUCCUACGGGAGGCAGCAGUGGGGAAUAUUGCACAAUGGGCGCAAGCCUGAUGCAGCCAUGCCGCGUGUAUGAAGAAGGCCUUCGGGUUGUAAAGUACUUUCAGCGGGGAGGAAGGGAGUAAAGUUAAUACCUUGGCUCAUUGACGUUACCCGCAGAAGAAGCACCGGCUAACUCCGUG